rnacentral:lncRNA from 1 species
AUCACCUGUUCACCUUACUAGAUGCAGAAAGAGACUGAUAAAAUUCAACACCCCUUCAUGAUAAAUGCCCUAAAAAAACUAGGUAAGAAGGAUGGUACCUCCAAGUAAUAGAGGGUGAACCAGUGAACCAAUUCAGCACAGCAUCAGGGCCCUACAUACACAAAGAGCAGUAGUGUUUUGUUUUAGUCAGCUUUGUUGCUGCUGUUAUAAAAGACCCACCAGCACAACUGCAAAAGAGGAAAAGUUUAUUUGAGGGCUCAUGGUUUCAGAGAUCUUAGUCCAUAGAAGGCUGGCUCUACUCCUCAGGACGCGAGGUGAGGCAGAACCUCACCUCGUGAUUAAUUAUUGCAUAGAAUUAAAAACCUUCUGCACAUGGUGGAGGAGUGCGGCAGAGGGGAGCAGCUCAUAAUGGUGAUCAGCAAGCAGACAGUGAGACAGUCCAGCCUCCAGAUACACAAUAAAUAAGCCAUAGCCACGCCCCAAUGCCCCCCCUCCUGCAGCCACACCCACCACUUCAGAGUCCACUCAGCUAAUCCCCUCAGGGGAUUAAUUCACUGACUGGGUUAGGACUCACGACCCAUCAUUUCUCCUCUGAACUUUCUUGCAUUGUCUCACAUGUGAGCUCUUGGGAGACACCUCACUUCCAAACCAUAACAUCUUUCUAUACCAAUAAUGAACUCACUGAGAAACCAGGAAAGCAACCUAAUUCACAGCAGCCUCCAAAAACAUGACCAAGGAACAAAUCUAACAAGGAGGUGAAAGUCCCUACAAUGAAAAUCAUAGAAUGCUAGAAAGACAACAGGAGAUGGAAAGAUCUCCCAUGUUUGUAGGUUGGCAGAAUUAAUCUGUCUAAAUGGGUCAGGUGCCGUGGGGCACAACUGUGAUCCCAAUGACUUGGGAGGCUGAG